rnacentral:lncRNA from 1 species
UUCGUUAAAUUAUAUACAAAAAACUUCAGAUAACCAUCUAUAUUUAUCGAAUAUUUACUUUAGUAUCCUUUAAUUUUAAUUUUGUCACUGAUUUAAGAAAAAAAUAAUAAUAAAAUUGAUAACAAAAAGAGAAAAAUGAAACCACAGGAGGGCAAAUUGAUACGUUUUAAACCACAGGGUACUAAAGUGAGAAAGCACGAAACCACAGGGGGGGUUUUUGAAGUUUUCCCUUAUAAAAAAAAGAACAGAAUAGUAAUGAAACUCUGACGGAAAUGGACUAAAUAUAUUAACGUGAAAUGUUGAGUGGAUAAAAUAUCGAUUUUUAAAAAUUAGGAAGAGUAAGUAAAUAAGCGGAUAUUUGACGAUUUUCUGUAAUUUAGCCAUUUCAGAACUUUCGAUUCAACUUACCCUAUAUGUUUAAAAUUUUAAUUCCAGUAUUUUUAAUAAUUUUUUAAAUAAAAAUGAAUGAAAUUUAUAAAAAUAAAUAAUGUAUUUAAACUUUUUAAAAUUUAAAAACUCGUUACUUGACUUCAAUGAAAUAAAUUAAAAACUCAUAUAGUAAAUUCAAUUUUUUUUAAAGAUUAGGUAGUUGGAUAAUAAUAAUAAUAAUAAAAUAUUUAUUUUUACCUAAUCUAAUAUUUAUUUUUACAAGACGAAAAAGCAUCUUACAUAUUUAUUCUUAUUAUUAUUAUCAUUAUUAUUAUUAUUAUUAUUAUUAUUAUUAGUGUUGUAUAAAUCUUAAUAUGAAAUGGGAUGCAAAGAGAAGUACUUAGAAAAACAAAUAUUGGAAAUAAUGUACACUACGCUCACUUAUAUUUUUUAUAUAUUUUUUUAUUUAUGUAAUGAUGUGAUGCAUUUUAAUUAAUUCGAUGGUAGUUAUAAUUUAUAAUAACAAAAGUUUAAUUUAUAAUUAGAAUACUAAUUAAUUACAGUAGCAAAAAAAUGGAUAAAAACUAAGACAUAUACAAUUGGUGAAACAUGCACAUCAUCACCUACAAUUUGCAAAUUUAUUUAUUUUCCAAAACAAAAAAUAAAAAUAAAAAUAAAAAUGCAUGGAGACCCCCUCAAGUAUAGUUCAUCCUAGAGUAGCCCCUCUAAUCUCCUUUUCAGCAGGUUGACACUUUUUGAACAGUUAAUUUUUUUUUAAAAAAAGAAAUAAUUUUAAUUAAAAUAUAUUGAGAAGUACAUCAAAUUUAUUAAAAGUUAUAAAAAAAUAUUUUUAGAUACUUUAUAAUAAAUAAAGUUAGAUCAAUUAAUAAAUAAUUGAGUCAAAAUGGCCUCUAAUUAAGUAGAAAAAAAAAUAGUAUAUUUUUUAUAACAGUCAUACUCAUACCACACUGACGUACUUCAAAGUAAUUCUAUUAUUAUGUCAUUUAAAAUGACAAUUAAUGAAGUGUACAAUCAGGAGUAACAUGGUAAUUAAUUUUAUAGUAAAAUAAAUAUUUUAAUAAUUUUUGAUACGUAGUAUUUAUUACAAUAAGUAUAUAAUAAGCUUAUAUUCUAAAAUCGAAAUAUCACCGACCAAUUCAAAUCAAGUAAAUUAAAAAAUUCGGAUGAUAAAUUCAAAAUAGCCCAUCAAAUUUCGCUGAGAUUGCUUCAUAGCGAUUAGUAUUCUGAUUUCUUUGUUUGAUCAAAUUAGAUGCAUCGAUUAUAGUCUACGCUAGUAUAAUAUAUUUGACCUAACUAUGACCUAACUAUUUUGAUUUCCAUGCGGGUUGUUUUAGCGGAUAUUAUUUUCACCUCCGCAACCCACGGAAUUUUCAGUAGAGAUGGGAUGUAAAGUUAGUAGUAAUCGUAAGAGUUGAGAAUGAAUACUAUCGAUAGUAUUUGAUUUUUUUUAUUAUUAAAUUUUUAAUUUUUGAAUGAGAAAUUAUAGGAUUAGAAUGAUAUUAGCCUCUUAGGAUUGAGAGUGGUCUCCACUAGAUUAUAAUAUUUAAUUCAAUGAUUAGAAAUAAUCAAAAAAAUUAAUCCAAAGAUUAUAAAAACUUUUUUUUUGAGAGAUAGGUAGCACGCUACCUGCUUCGUUUAUUUCAUUUAGAAAUAAACUUAGUUAGAAAUGUGAAUCAAUUAGGAUUCGAACUUGGGUCUCAGGUACCAACCGCCAAGCCCUUUGCUACUUGCUUUAAGGACGGUUGGUAAAUAUUAUAAAAACUUGAUAGCCAAAUGUGACAAAUACUAUUAAUAGUAUACUAGCCCAUCGCAUAAUAGUAAUAUAUGAUUUUAUUCAAAAGAAAAAAAAAGAAAAAACUUCAAAUAUUAUUCCUGUGGUUUCACACUUUCUCAUUUUAGUACCCUAUGGUUUAAAGUAUAUCAAAUUAGUAUCCUGCGAUUUCAUUUUUAUCUUUUUAUUAUCGAUUCCACUAAUAUUUUUCGUUAAAUCAGCGACAAAGUUAAAACUAAAGAGUACUAAAGUGAAUAUUCGAUAAAUCUAGUUAAGGUAUCUGAAGUUUUUCGUAUACAAUUUAACGAAAUGUUAACGAAAAAUGUGACGAAAAGAUAAAAAUGAAAUCACAUAAUACUAACUCGAUAUAUUUUAAACCAAAAGAUACUAAAGUGAGAAAGUGCGAAACCACAAGGAUGGUAUAUGAAGUUUACCUAAAAAAAAAAAAAAAGAAUAAAAAAAAAAGAGAAGUAGACCCCUCACACUCAUUAGUGGGGGUGGUAGGUGAACCCACGCCAAUUAUAAAUCCCCUCCCCCGAUCCACCACCACCACCACCACCACCACUGUUCCACUCCAAUCUCUCGCUCUAACAAAGGGAAGGGGGAGGCGGAGAAGUGUAUUUAAUUCUGAAUUUUCUGAUGGGGUCGACGGCGGGGAUGGUGCACGUGGCGGACGAGGAGGAGGCGGCGUGCAUGUACGCGAUGCAGCUGGUGAGCGCGUCGAUCCUGCCGAUGACGCUGAAGGCGGCGCUGGAGCUGGACCUGCUGGGGAUCGUGAGCAGGGCGGGGACGGAGCGGGCGAGGUUCGUGUCGGCGGCGGAGGUGGCGGCGCAGCUGCCGGGCUGCAAGAACCCGGGCGCGGCCGACAUGGUGGACCGGAUGCUGCGCCUGCUCGCCAGCUACAACGUCGUCGCCUGCGCCGUCCGCCCCGGCCCCGACGGCCGCCUCGACCGCCGCUACGGCCCCGGCCCCGUCUGCAAGUGGCUCACGCCCAACGACGACGGCGUCUCCAUGGCCCCCCUCGCCCUCAUGAACCAGGACAAGGUCCUCAUGGAGAGCUGGUACUUUUUCUUUUUGUCUUUUUCCCUUUUUUUUAUUUUUUUUUCUAUAUAUAUAUAUAUAUAUAUAUAUAUAUAUAUAUAUAUAUAGUCCCGAUCAAUAGUGCUAAAACUCUUGAUACUAUUGAAUUUUCUACCGUUAUAUAUAUUAUUAUUUUAUCAUUUUCUCUCGUUAAAUUAUACUAUUCAACCAACCACCUACUCAACCCUAAGCCACGAGGGGUUAAGUAAAAAUUUGUUAUUUUAGGAAUAAAGUUAAGUUCGGGAUUAAGGUGGAGUUAGAGUAAUUUUGUAUUUGGUUGAGAAUUGGGUUUAGUCCCAAUAUAGAUAAAAUAGUUUUUGGUUGGAAUAAAUAGAACAAAAAGAAUAGUGGGUAUCUUAAGUGUAUAUUUUUUCAUCUAAGCGUUUGAAACUAUUGGUAGUAUAAUGAAAUAAAUUUAUUCUUUUUUGUUGACAAAUUAUUAUUAGAUUACUAUAUAUACACACAAAAACUCUACCAUAAAUAUCAAUUUUUUUAUUUUUUAUUUUUCAAAGUUUCGUAGUUAUUUCGUCUAUUUUUUAUAUAAAUUGAUAUAAUUUAUAUCAAAAGUACUCUUUAAAAUAAUAAAAGUAUUUUAAAAAAUUAUUUAAAGAGUAAUUUAAUUUCGCUCUUUACUGCUAAUGUCGUAAUCUUUUAAAAUAUUUGUGAAACAAAAGGGUUGUGAAACAAAAGGGGAGAGAAGAGAAUAAAAAAAUAUAUAUUUAUAUAAAUAUUUUUGUGUAUUUUAACUAGAUUUUUUUAAAAAAAAAUAAACUGAGGUAGAAAUAUAAAAUAUAUAUUUAUAUAAUUUUACUGCUGAUGUUGACAGGUUGUUAUAAGUAUUUAUAUCUUAAUUUUACCACUGAUGUGUUGAUUUAUAAAUUAUAUAGCAUUAAUUUUAGUCGACGCAUAUAAUAAUUGGCAUGCUACGUUACAUCCUUUUCAAAUAUAUUCACACCAUUUUUACCCACUCAAGCAAUAAUAAUAAUAAUAAACUUAAUUUGUUUUAUUACCCUUAAAAAAGAGAUAAUAAUAAUAAUAAUAAUUAUAACAAUAAUAAGUUAAGAGAAAGGACUUUGUCGCUUUGUGAUAACUAAUAAUAAUAAUUUAUAUAGAAGUGUGACGUGUUACGCAUCAAAAUCAACAUUAUUAGUUUCGGAUGUUAGGGAAUCUCACUUUUGGUGGUGGGUUUUGGUCCACCUUACGAUACAUUGAUGUUUUUGUUUUUUUAAUUUUAAUUUAUUAUAAUUUUUUACUCAAAUUUUUGUAAAUUAUUAUUAUAAUUAAAUCUCAUAAUUCAAUUUAGUUAACCAGAUUGUGAUCCAUGGUGUGACAAACAUUAAGAUGUUGUAUGAUACAUCAACAUAAAGAUUAAAUUUUGACGAUCAAAGUAUCACGAGGUUAAGUAGCAAAACUAUAUUUAGCUAUACGUAUAUGGAUCUAUUGUAUUUCUAACAAUUUAAAUUUUGACCAAAUUAGAAAUAUUCCUUGCAAAAAAUGUUAGAAAAGUCGAAAUAAAAUGUAUGAUUACCCAUUUUAAAAAUGCACUAUAUAUAGAUCGGGUAAGGUCCUACAUAACCUUUUGUUUUUGUAUUGAUACAUCUAGCGGAGCCACGCACAUGUUCAACGAAAUUUCCAACGAUCGUGUUUCUAAUUCGGACUUGAUGGAUCUCUUUUUAUCCACCAUUCGAUGGUUCUUACAACGAGGGUCGUAAGAAGUUUUCGUGAUUUGGACACUUUGAAAUAAUUCCGUCCACUGUUCGGUACUACUAUAUCUAUUUUGUCGUAUCAUUUAUAGACAAAGUGAUCGACAAGUCGAGGAUUAUUUAGAAGUUUUUAGAAGCAUAUGUAUAUAUGUGUGUGUGGUCUACAUGUAGUCACGAGCUGCUUGAUAACGAUGUUACUUAGAUUUUUCUUUUGUCAUGAGCAAGAAAUAUCUAUGUUACUUCAUUGAAUGUUGAUGUCGAAUUUAGGUUUACCUUUAGAGACUUAAGAGUAGAUGUUGAUCAAUAUCGACAAUUAAUGUCUUUUUUUUUUUUUCUAUUGUGUUAAUUUUAUAAACGUUGUAGCUAAUAAUUUGUUUAAGUAGAGUUGAAACUAAGCUAUUUAGUCAAUAGCUAAAAUCCUAGUAAAUAUUCUAUGCCUCCAAAAAAUACUCUUCUUAAGAUAUUCUUCACGAGGAAAUAGUACAUAUAUUCAUAGAGUUAACUUUGUUAUUU